rnacentral:tRNA from 1 species
GGACUGGUAGUCUAUCGGCAUGACGCUUCUUUGACGUGGAAGAGGUAGCAGGUUCAAUUCCUGCCCAGUCCA